CCACCAUUACAAAAUCACAUUCAUUGUAAUAUUGCAUUAAAAUACAUAUUUAAGGGGAUCCUGGAGUCGUCUGCAUUACCGACGGAAUGAGUGAGUGUUUUUAAAUAGAUCUUUUCAUUAGUUGCGCAGAAUGAAAAAUCGUUUUACACGAUGAAAGCAAUCCUUUUGCAUGACAUCAAGGACCUAAUCUUGUGUUCAGUUUUACUCUUUGUUACGAUUUUAGAGAUGCACAUAUGCUCAAAAUUUUUAUUUCAAUCAAACUUUUUUACUUCUGAAGUCUCUUUUAAAAGCUUCCUUAUAUUCUUUCCUUCUGUCUCUUUGUCAAUAGCUACUCAUUUUGUACGUACAAACUGCGCAUCUUAUAUAUUACAAGAAUAUUAUCAUACGAGACAAGCCACAAGUCGGUAAUAAAACUGUGAUUUUCGAAAUUGUUUUCGUUUUUAACAUUAAGUCCAAGUCAUUGACAAACAUUUUGAUGUGUACUGUAAUUGUGGAAAAAGAUUUGGAUAAAGUUCCGAAAAGGGUACGGCUCCGAUUUUAAUGAAACUUUGUAAAAAGCUUCCUCUCAGGUUGAAAUGAAAGUCUUUAAAAGGAUUUUUGGCGACUCUCAUAAAAAGGUCAUUUUUUAAUAAUAAAUUCUCAGAAAAUUAACAAUGAUCUCUAUUUGUAUUUAAGUGAAUAUGUAUAUAUUGAUUGUAUUGAUUUUUUUAUGUUUUUACAAAAAGUAAUACAUGUUAUAAUAAAUUUUAAUUGGUUUUUCCUGGAUAAAUAGUUUUAAUAUCUUUCAAAAGUUGUUCAAAUGGAUCUAUAUUAAGUUUAUGUACACGACGACGCCACAUAAAUUCACACAUAUGUUCAGCCAUUCUGUCUGAGUGAAGCAAGGACUUGAGUUUGACAUAUAUUACAAAGGUCAAGGUCGUCCGAAGGUGCUCCAUUAAACUAUAUAAUUACCAAAUAGAAACAAAUUCGUCCUUCAAUGUGUGAACAGAAUGUAAACAAUAGCAUACUAAACUUUACGAAUCUCCACAAUACAAUAUUUGAAUAAUAUACUC